rnacentral:lncRNA from 1 species
UUUUUUUUUUUUUCCGCCCAGAUGCCCCGUAGCGACCCAGAGAAACUCCUGGAUGCUCCAUAGAGCCCUAUACACCCUAUAGACAUCGCAUAGAGCCGUACGGUGACCCAUAGACACCCAACAGCAACUCAUGGACCCUCCAUAGCAGCCCAUAUAGACCCCAUAGUGACCCAUAGAUCCCCAUAACUACCCACAGAGGCCCCAGAGUGACCCACACACUGCCCCAUGGCAACCCAUAUCACCCCAUAGACAUCCUCCACUGCCCCGUAGCAUCCUAUAGACCCACAGCUCACGCCCCACAGCUUUUAUUGACUACUGGCAUUGCAAGAACAGCAGCAGCAGUAGCAGCAGAAUCUGUAUACAUGGCACCCGACAGGGACCCCGCUAUGCCCCGUGGCCCGUAAGUGCCCCAACACCCAUGAAUUUUUUUCUCAGUGUCAUUCAUUUUUAUUCACUUUUUCAUAAUUUACAAUUGCUUGUUUUCACUUUUCGUUGAAUUUCUUCAGUUUAGCUUGUUCACUUUUACUCUUUUUUAUUUACUUUGUAAUAACUUAUAAUCACUUUAUUCACUUUUAUUUGCUUUUUGUUGACUUUACGCAGUUUUAUUCACCUUUAUUUGCUGUUUAUAAUUUUUUUCUUCAGAUUUAUUUGCUUUACAGACCUUUUUAGUAACUUUUU